rnacentral:lncRNA from 1 species
AGACUACCCUGGCCAAGAUUUUGCUAAAUUGAAGCACGACUAUACACAGCUCCUAAAUUGGAGUGGUCAAUCCCAUCUUGACACACGCACCGACAAGUCAAGUACUUGACUACACCCAGCAACCUUCCGUCACUGAAUUAGAAAUUCAGGUAGUCCAGUGCCUAAGUGCAGUGAGUUGCUUGCAAGUCACCAUGGUGGUCUC